GGGGAAUAUUGGACAAUGGGCGCAAGCCUGAUCCAGCCAUGCCGCGUGGGUGAAGAAGGCCUUCGGGUUGUAAAGCCCUUUUGUUGGGAAAGAAAAGCAGCCGGCCAAUACCCGGUUGUUCUGACGGUACCCAAAGAAUAAGCACCGGCUAACUUCGUGCCAGCAGCCGCGGUAAUACGAAGGGUGCAAGCGUUACUCGGAAUUACUGGGCGUAAAGCGUGCGUAGGUGGUGGUUUAAGUCUGUUGUGAAAGCCCUGGGCUCAACCGGUGACAUGCAUUUGAAACUGAAAGACUUGAGUAUUGGAGAGGCAAGUGGAAUUCCUAGUGUAGCGGUGAAAUGCGUAGAUAUUAGGAGGAACACCGGUGGCGAAGGCGGCUUGCUGGACAAAUACUGACGCUGAGGUGCGAAAGCGUGGGGAGCAAACA
rnacentral:rRNA from 1 species